AUCGUAACAUUUACAUCGUAAAUAAUGUAAAUUUAACGUGCAUAGACGUUGUCUUACGACGACGUCGAUAAAUCUUCAGCGACGCGCGUCGAUGGACGGCCUAUCUCAUCGAUAGCCGACCGGAGUGCGUCGCUACAAACAGAGCUCGACAGGGCGCCUCGCCGUUUUCUUUCGCGUCUCCGUACGACGAUCGAUCUACGACGAGAGUGCCCGUCGCUCGACCGUGUUACCCUACGGGGUUCACAAUUUGGCGAUGCUGGAGUUCGAUGCGACGAUUAGGUCUCGACCGCGGCGCUCGAUACUCUGUGUGUGAGGCAUCUGCUAUAUAAAAUACCUGCUCCGUAUCAUCCGAUGCGUGAGCGAAUAUUAAAGGCAUCGCUCGACAGCGCGUCCUUUUUAAAUCACUGAUGAAUGCGGUGCUUGAAUCGAAUUCGUCGUUCCAUCGACAAUUCUUUUCAUGAUAAUCGCUCUCGCAUUCCAGUCGGCUCGAUCACGCACUUCGUGCGAUCGUGCGAAUGACGGGCGCUCGCUUAACGGCGUCGCUCUAGAUUACGGAAUAUUGCGCCGAGACGACAGUUCAUUGGAAAGUUGUCGAAUCGCAUUUUCCACUAUCACACAAAAUCAAUACCGUUUUGAUAAAGACCGAAAGCGUAAAGCUCGAGGUGUACGAAUUGUAACUUGAAACAUAUACCAAUUUUCGAUAACGACCCCCAUCGGUGACGUUGGCGUGCAGUCGAUCGAAAGCCGGUAAAAUUUAUAUAUAUAAUCACCCUGACCGGUGGAUCACUUGACUCGU
rnacentral:misc_RNA from 1 species